rnacentral:rRNA from 1 species
GACGAACGCUGGCGGCGUGCUUAACACAUGCAAGUCGAACGGAAAGGCCCUGCUUUUGUGGGGUGCUCGAGUGGCGAACGGGUGAGUAACACGUGAGUAACCUGCCCUUGACUUUGGGAUAACUUCAGGAAACUGGGGCUAAUACCGGAUAGGAGCUCCUGCUGCAUGGUGGGGGUUGGAAAGUUUCGGCGGUUGGGGAUGGACUCGCGGCUUAUCAGCUUGUUGGUGGGGUAGUGGCUUACCAAGGCUUUGACGGGUAGCCGGCCUGAGAGGGUGACCGGCCACAUUGGGACUGAGAUACGGCCCAGACUCCUACGGGAGGCAGCAGUGGGGAAUAUUGCACAAUGGGCGGAAGCCUGAUGCAGCAACGCCGCGUGCGGGAUGACGGCCUUCGGGUUGUAAACCGCUUUCGCCUGUGACGAAGCGUGAGUGACGGUAAUGGGUAAAGAAGCACCGGCUAACUACGUGCCAGCAGCCGCGGUGAUACGUAGGGUGCGAGCGUUGUCCGGAUUUAUUGGGCGUAAAGGGCUCGUAGGUGGUUGAUCGCGUCGGAAGUGUAAUCUUGGGGCUUAACCCUGAGCGUGCUUUCGAUACGGGUUGACUUGAGGAAGGUAGGGGAGAAUGGAAUUCCUGGUGGAGCGGUGGAAUGCGCAGAUAUCAGGAGGAACACCAGUGGCGAAGGCGGUUCUCUGGGCCUUUCCUGACGCUGAGGAGCGAAAGCGUGGGGAGCGAACAGGCUUAGAUACCCUGGUAGUCCACGCUGUAAACGGUGGGUACUAGGUGUGGGGUCCAUUCCACGGGUUCCGUGCCGUAGCUAACGCUUUAAGUACCCCGCCUGGGGAGUACGGCCGCAAGGCUAAAACUCAAAGGAAUUGACGGGGCCCCGCACAAGCGGCGGAGCAUGCGGAUUAAUUCGAUGCAACGCGUAGAACCUUACCUGGGUUUGACAUGGAUCGGGAGUGCUCAGAGAUGGGUGUGCCUCUUUUGGGGUCGGUUCACAGGUGGUGCAUGGCUGUCGUCAGCUCGUGUCGUGAGAUGUUGGGUUAAGUCCCGCAACGAGCGCAACCCUUGUUCACUGUUGCCAGCACGUUAUGGUGGGGACUCAGUGGAGACCGCCGGGGUCAACUCGGAGGAAGGUGGGGAUGACGCCAAGUCAUCAUGCCCCUUAUGUCCAGGGCUUCACGCAUGCUACAAUGGCUGGUACAGAGAGUGGCGAGCCUGUGAGGGUGAGCGAAUCUCGGAAAGCCGGUCUCAGUUCGGAUUGGGGUCUGCAACUCGACCUCAUGAAGUCGGAGUCGCUAGUAAUCGCAGAUCAGCAACGCUGCGGUGAAUACGUUCCCGGGGC